rnacentral:rRNA from 1 species
AGCGAACGCUGGCGGCAGGCCUAACACAUGCAAGUCGAACGGACCCUUCGGGGUUAGUGGCGGACGGGUGAGUAACACGUGGGAACGUGCCUUUAGGUUCGGAAUAGCUCCUGGAAACGGGUGGUAAUGCCGAAUGUGCCCUUCGGGGGAAAGAUUUAUCGCCUUUAGAGCGGCCCGCGUCUGAUUAGCUAGUUGGUGAGGUAAUGGCUCACCAAGGCGACGAUCAGUAGCUGGUCUGAGAGGAUGACCAGCCACAUUGGGACUGAGACACGGACCAAACUCCUACGGGAGGCAGCAGUGGGGAAUCUUGCGCAAUGGGCGAAAGCCUGACGCAGCCAUGCCGCGUGGAUGAUGAAGGUCUUAGGAUUGUAAAAUCCUUUCACCGGUGAAGAUAAUGACUGUAGCCGGAGAAGAAGCCCCGGCUAACUUCGUGCCAGCCGCCGCCGUAAGAC